rnacentral:rRNA from 1 species
GACGAACCGUGCGAACGUUGUUCGGAAUCACUGGGCUUAAAGGGCGCGUAGGCGGGCCUCCAAGUCCGGGGUGAAAUCCUCCCGCCCAACGGGAGAAGAGCCUCGGAGACUGGGGGCCUCGGAGGGAGGUAGGGGCGGUGCGGAAGCUAUGGGUGGAGCGGUGAAAUGCAUUGAUAUCCAUAGGAACUCCGGUGGCGAAGGCGGCACGCUGGACCUCUUGCUGACGCUGAGGCGCGAAAGCCAGGGGAGCAAACGGG